rnacentral:ncRNA from 1 species
ACGUAAACCCUUGCUUUAUUUUUAAAUACUAUUUUAUAAAGCAGUUCGCCAUUAUAUUGGUUGAUAUAUGGGACCAAGACAAGUCAUCAUGACCUUAAUAUUGUGGGCUAUAGACGUGCCACAUAGUCCUAUACAAAGAGAUGCUAAAAUGUGAAUUUAAGCUAAUCUCAAAAGUAGGAUAUAAUACGAAUUGUAGUCUGUAACUCGACUACAUGAAGAAGGAAUUACUAGUAAUCGUGAAUCACCAUGUCACGGUGAAUUUAAUCUCGGAUAGGCACUUACUACUCGUCGCGCGCUGAAAGAAGUAUGUGCAAUAAGUUUGGUUAACUAUUUACUUUUAAUUAAGAUAAUACGUUCUUUAUAUUUAUUUAGUUAAUUUUCGUAUGUGUGACUUCGAUUGGUGUUAAGUCGAAAUACGGUUCGUGUAGUGGAAAUUGCACGGGGGUAAUUAAAGUA